rnacentral:lncRNA from 1 species
UGCUGAAGAAGACUGAGUUGAUACCGAGUCAAGAGGCGAUUGGGGGCAACCAGUGAGGAGCAAAGUCAUAGAUGAGCCAGUUGACAUCGGAGUUCUGUAGAAACUCAGUGAGAGGGAGUUGGAGCUGGUCGUAGGCUCGUUUCAGAUUCGGGAAUAGGUGGAAUGGCAACUCGGAGGUGGACUCGGCGGAGUCGGGCAAGCCAUGGACGGCAGGCAGAGGCAGUGGCAGUCGUACCAUGGUUACAAGUGAGGAUAAAUUUGGAAUUUGAGAGAGGCGACGAAGGUUUUUAGGGGUGGAGAGGAAGGAAAUGCGGUGACCCCUUUGAACUAAGUGGCUGGAGAGAUGAAGAAAAGGUAAGAAGUGGCCAAAGGCCAGCCAUGGGAACACAGCUAUGUGAAGCUUCUGAUGCUCUUUCUUCAUCUCAUCCAUGGCAAUGGAGUUGUGAGUUGUGAGAGAAAUGAUCAAGAUUCAAAACUUUGGGUAGAGCAGUGAUGUGAAGUUGCAGAAAGAGUUGUCGACUUGUGCUCAUCAUCAAAGGAGCAGCGCACCAUGGAUGGAUGUCCCGCUGUACUUUUAUUGGACCCUUAUCGUUAAAUCCUAUCACUCAUCCCCGCAAUGGUAAGCCAAGGGGAAAAAGUGUGUUUUGGUGAGAGGGUUUUGAAAAAAGAAAGAAAAAGGAAGAUAAAAUCCUUUAAAAAAUAAUUAAAAUUUUCAUUUCAUCAUCUCUCCUGUUAAACAAAUAUUCGAUUUUUAUAUUAAAAUAUAAAAAAUUUGAUUUAAUUAAAAUUUUAUUUUCAAAUUAUUUAAUCUUUACAUCAGAUAAUUAAAAUAAGUUAAAUGACUUUUAAAUAACAUAUGAAAAUAAUUUAUUAAUUAAAUUUUUUUUUUCUUCCAAUUUUUUCUUCUUAGAGACACAACUUUUCCCAUGAGAAAAGGUAGGAUCUUAAUUAUUGAGCGUGGCGGUGAGAUUUUGAAAUGAAAAUUGAUGGUCCUUGGAAACUAUUACCCGACUUGAAAUAGUUUUCUAUAUGCUAAAAUGAUUAAAUGAAAUAAUUUUUUUUGAGAUUUUAAAAAAAAAUAUAUAUUGUUUUUGGGAAUAAAAUUGAGAUAUCUUCAAUUAUAUUUUAAAAGUGUUUCAAAAAAUAAUUUACAAGAAUUAAUUUUUUUUUACAUUAUACAUUAUGUGCACAAAAUUCAUGAAAAAUAAUUAAAUUUUUUUUUUUCAAUGUUUUCAGAAUUGGAUUAAUCAUUAAAUUGAAAAGUUAUGGAUUUAUGGUUCAAUAGUUUGAUUGAUAGUUAAAUCGCGAUUGAACUGGUGAUGUAAUAAAUAUAUAAUUUAUAUAUUAUAUAAAAUUAAAAUUAUUUAUAAAAUUUAAUAUUAAAAAAUAAUAAUAAUUCAUUUUUAUAUAAUUCAUUUUAUCAAAUUAAAUUGGUAAUAAUAAAUAUAAAUAUAUUAAUAUUUUAAAUUUUAUUAAUUAAAAUAAUACACAUAUAAUAUUUUAAAGAAAAAUUAUAUGUUUAAAAUUGUAUAUUUUUUAUUUUAUAAUAUUUAAAAACAUUAUAUUAUUCUCAUAAAUAUUAUUAUAUAAUAAGUAUAAUUAUUUAAGGGUUUUAAAUAAUAAAAAUUUGAAAGAAGCAUUACUUUCCAAAUCCCAAUAGUCUAACAAUGCUUUUGAUAAGUUGGAGGUCCGAGGGUGAGUCCUCAGACAAACAGAAAAAAAAAAAAAAAGCUCAUGGAUCAUAAGCAAUAGGGCCUAUGAGGCUUGGCUUGGAUGGAAUAAUUAGAUAAUUCAAAAAUUAAGUUUAUUCUAUUAAUGUUUCCAUAAAUUACAAUAUUAUUAGAGAAAUUUUCAUGUGUGACAAAAUAAUAUUGUUAGAAUCACUUUAAAAAAUUCAAAACUAUAUUAUGAAAAAAAAAAAAAAAAAACAAUUAUGCCACUGUAAACCUCAUUUUUUUGUGUAGUUUUUUUAUUAUUUUUGUAGCACUUUGCUGUCAGCGUGUUUUAGAGUGGGGGACGACUGUGAGUUACAUGCAUGGGACAUGUGCCAAGACACCACCACCUUGCCAUGGUGGUAGUUGAGAUGGGGACUCCUUUUGAACAGAUGACAGAGGAGUGGGUGGUGAGCAGUAAAAUUGGUGAAGACUGGAGGUGAAAGAAAAACAGAGCAUGGGUGGGCUGUUUUGAGGGGGUACCAGCUAUGAAGAAGGGAGGGAGAAAAACGAGCAGCGGAGGGGGAUUUUUCUGGGAGAAAAAUCUGGAGAGUGGGUGCUGGGUUUUUGUGGCAGCUGAGGGAUUUUAGAAAGAAAAAGAAGAAGAGAGGUGAGCUGAAAUUUGGGGGGGCGGUGGGGGAACGCGUCUGAAAAUAGAGCAAGAGGAGAGGUGGAGUGAAAACGGGGAGAACGGUUUUUUUGAAAGAAAACAGAGCAAGAGGAAGGUUGUCCACGGGUGAGCGGUUUUUGAGGGAGGCGCCUGAAAACAGAGCAAGGGGAGAGCUGGAAGGAGAAACGGAGGACGUUUUUUUUAAGGAAAAAACAGGCAGCAACUGGAGAGAGAGAUCUAGGAGAAAAACGGAGCACUUGAAGCCAAGUGUGCUUGGCUCAAGAGGAGACACCCAUGUUCAUUGUGAACCGUGUAUUUUCUUAUUUUUGGAUGCCAUUUUACCUGAUGUCUCUGUUAACUUUUGGGUCGUUCUUGCUGGUCCUUCCAUGUUCGUUUCCUUGGCUUACCUUGAAAACUGGUGAGGUUUUUUUUAUCAUGUUCAUUGCGGGGCAUUCUGAAGAUCAACGCAUUUGCUCUACUGGGUGUCAUAUCUGCAUUGUAUUUGUUUUUGGCUUUUGCCUAUUCUGUUCUUCUUUGCAACAUACAUAUAUAUAUAUAUAUAAAAUGAAAGAUAUGGUAGUGUGCUCGAUGGGAGUGAACAGAGUAGGGCAGUCCCACAUAGAUUUUGUUGGGGAACGGAUUUAAAAGUAUGGAAAUCACACCCCUUUUUUUUAGGUUUCUAGGAUUUUUGAGUUUCGGGCUAGGUGGGUUUCUUCUUUUGGUUGGUUUUGCCACUCCAAAUGGCUCUCGUUCCACACUUUUUGAUUCACGUUCAGCAUUUCUCUACUUAGGCCUAUGUUUGGUGGCUGGGAAUUUAUAAGAAACUGAUUUUAGGAUCUGGGUAUUUGGUUAUAUGAGAUGAUCUUAAGAACUGUUUGAGGUUUCUACAAACUGCCUUGCAUUUUCAUAUUAUAAACCCAACACCUCUGGUUUGUUGGAAAUGAGUUUGAAAAAAUAAUAAUUGAGCAACUUGGGGCUUAAUUAAAAGUGUGACCCACAUUCCGAAAAUGUCGGGACCAUGCACCAACGCGUUCUCCUCCGUAAGAGUAUAACGUGGUAUAUUUAUUUGUUCAAAUCCAUUAAGUAUUGAAUGAGAAAAUUGACUCCAAAGUCACCCACUUGAAAUUAUAUAUUUAAGGAAACUUGGUAUAAACUUACCAUAAACACUUUAUCCCACGUAGGAAGGAAGUGUGAGGGGAAUGUGAAGAGUUUAUAUAUUGAAUUUUUGCACUAUAGGAACGGCCCAAGGGGCACCCUAAGUUUGUAAAGGGGAGGACCUACAUGGGUGUAGGCUUGUGUGGGUUUAACCCACACGGGCGCAGCCGCCCGGGCCCAUGGGUCUUGGGCUUGGGCUUGCUAUAUAUAUAUAUAAUUUUUGGGCAAAAAUCAUUUAAGUUUCUGGGUCGGGGUUAUCCGUUGGCUUUUCAUAAUUAAGAUUCAUUGUUAGAGUGUGCCUAUUCCGAACAGGUUCAUGACUAUUCCAAACAGGUACGUGUCUAUUCCGAAUAGGUUUAUACCUAUUCUAAACAGACACUAGGAAGUCUAUAAAUAGACUUUCUACCUCGGCAUUAAUAAAAUAAAAAAAAAAUUCAAUCAAUUCCUGCAUAUUUCUCUCUCUCCUCUUUGCAUCCUUUGUCAGUUCGAGUACAAAAUACAAGUUGUGUUCGUGGUGUUCUACAGAUUGAAGUGCUGCUUUUGUAGAACUGAAAAUCCGUUCUAUCUUGGGAGACAUUUAUUCACUACUUGAGCACCAGAGAGGGAAUAAAAUUGUCUUAAAGAAACAGUGUUGUCAUUGGGCUCGAAUUCAUAGAAUUAAAGUAAGUUCUGUAAUUUCAUUUAUUUUAUUUACAUACUUAUUUAAUGUUUACUUAAAGUAUAAACUGUAAAAAGAUUUUAUUGUUAACAUGGUUUGCUUUUUGCAUCUACUCCCCUUCAUUUUUAUGUAAUUCACCAUUCUCUUCCUCUACAAAGAAUCAAACAUGGCAUUCACAAUUUGAAAAGCUUGACCCAUCAAAAACAAUACAUCGAGGCCCUCAAACGCACCACACAAGAGCCACGUGUCAUCCUUUUUCUUUUUUCUUUUUCCUUCUUUUGAUAUUAAAAUUUUAUUUAUUUUUUAUUUUUUAUUUCUCCAUUCUCCAAUAAUUCAUCAAAAUUCCAAUUUUUAAAUUUAAUUUUCAAGAUUUUAAUUUUAAUUUAAUUUUCAAAACUCCAAUUUUUAAGUUUAAUUUUCAAAACUUCAAUUUUUAAAUCUAAUUUUCAAAAAUCUAAUUUUCCAAACUUUAAUUUUCAAAUUUAAAUUUUAAAAUUUCAAAUUUUAAAUAAUUUUCCAAAACUUCAAUUUUCAAAAUUCUCAAAUUCAUUUAUUUAAUAAUAAUAAUAAUAAUUAUUAUUAUUAUAUUUAUUUAUUUAUUUUUUAAAUUCCACUAUCAAAUAAUUCUUCAAAAUUCCAUUUUCUUAAAUUUAGUUUUCAAACUUCCAUUUUAAAAAUUUUUUGAAAUUUCGAUUAUUAAAUUUAAUUUUUUAAACUUCCAUUUUUAAUUAAUUAUUCAAAUUUUAAUUUUCACAUUUAUUUAUUUAAUUAUUGCUAUUAUUAUUAUUUUAUUUUAUUUUUUUAUUUUUAAAUUACAUUCUCAAAUAAUUCUUCAAAUUUUCAUUUUUUUUAAAUUUAAUCUUCAAGAUUUCCAUUUUCAAAUAAUUCUUUUUUAAAAUUUCAAAUAAUUUCAGAACUUUAAUUUUCUUUCAAAUAAUCUUAAUUUCACUCCAAUUUUCAAAUAUUUUUUUAAUUAACCACUUUUUAUCCUUACUAAAAAUUCUAUUUUUAAAUAAACUUGCUAUAUUUCCUUUCAGGGAAGCACCAUAAAUUUUCUUCGAUUUUAAAAUAAUUUUCCGUUUUUCUUGAUUUCUAACAAGCAUGAAGACAAUUUUCAUAAUUCCAAAAUAAUGGAAUUUGUGGGAUUAAUUUAUACAAAAUCAAUUGGGCUUUGGUGGGGCCCAACAUUCAUAACAUUUGUUUUUAAAAUAAUUUAAGUGAAUUGUAUAGUUAAUAUUGUUUGAUUUUGAUUGGUUUUAUGUGAAAUAUUUUACACUUAUCAUUGUACACCAACCUUGUUUCAUGAUAACACUUUAUUAUAUGUUGUCAAGCUACGAUCUUAUUCCUACUUUGCUUAUUCCUAUGCAUGAUUCGUUUUAUUAUUUGAUCUAUGAUCAUUUUGAUAUUUGUUGAUUUCUUUAUCAAUUAUCACACUUACUUCACCUUAUUUAGUAGAAACCAAUUUUUAAGAGCUUAGAGGAUCCUACGAUUUUUAUCGUACAUUUCCAAUAAGUAAUCUGAUCUUACCUUCAAAUUCUGAUAUUAUCUUCAAUUAGACAAUUUUUCUUAAAACUUCACUAAGAAACACAAUAUCAAAUUUGCUUAUUAUACGUUCUCCUUAUAUACCUCAAAAACCUAAGGGUUCCUUUGUUAGGUUUGUCCAUGAAAGGUGAGUCAAAGCCUAAGAUCAAGUCGAAAGGCAUAGUUGAUGGGUAAUAAGUGAAUAUUCUUGUAUUAUCCCUUGUUAGUCUCGAAAAAUCGAAAAGCAACCCCAUUUUUCACCUUAAAUUAAUCAAAAUAAGUAAAAUUUCUUGCUUUUUGUAAAUGAGUAGAUUUAAUAACUAGGGGUCUAUGGCUAACUGAUAUAAAAUAAUUUAAAUAAAAAAUAUACAAAAUCUAAUCAUUAAUAACCCUGAAUUAAAAUUAAGAAAAUUAUCUUCAAAAGAAUAUGUGCUAAUAGCAUAUUAUAAAAUAAUGAGUAAACUAAAAAUAAAAGAAAGUAAAAAAAAAAGAAGAUGGAGAGAAUUUGAGACGAUGUUUUUUUAGAGAAGGAUGUUAAUACGUGGAUGGAACAAUGCUUUUAUAAGCUUACGUAAAGAAAAAGUAGAUAUCUCCAUUAACUUACUGUUAAUAGAUCAAGUAGAUUUAGUUACUACUGAGUCAUUUUCAAGCACCCGAGUGAACUCAUCUAAAUAUUUGGUUUGCAACUUCACAUUUCCAAAGAUUUCCCUCAUUGCCCAUGCAUUUCUCCUAAGUUGCUCUCCUUCUUCUUCCACCAUAACUCGUUUUAUUGACUUACUCACUGAGUCGCCUGUAAAUGAUCCAUCUCGCUUGUCCCUCGGUACUUCCAACCCGACUCGCUUGCCUUCAAGGAGUCUUGCCACCAACCCCAGAUCUGAAGAAGGCCCGGGGAAAAGAAUCAGCACCCGACCCAACCCGAGAGCCUCGAUCACGGAGCUCCAUCCACAGUGGGUCAAGAAUCCACGAACUGAUGGGUGAGCCAAGAUUUGCUUUUGUGGAGCCCAAUUGGCCCAAACUAAACCACGACCUGAAACCCGACCCUCAAACCCGGUUAUAAUCGGAUCAUCUUUGGUUUUAACCACCCAAAUGAAGGGUAAGCCGGAUUUCUCUAUUCCAGAUGCCAACUCGUUCAUUUCGUCCUGACUCAGAGUCAACUCACUACCGAGUGCAACGUAAAGGACGGAGUUUUCGGUUUUCUCGUCAAGCCAUUGUCUUAACGAGCCCCAGCUCUCGUCUCCCUCGCUGUCGUUCACCUCCGUCGGAAGCAACCCUAUCGGAACGACAGGCUUUUGGUAGAGAUUUUCGAGGAGACUCAGUGAAUCACCCUCUAACUCGGCGCAGCUCCUGGUAGCUACAAAUCGGCAGCCUUCAAUCACCUUUGCCAAUCGGAAGAAAUCGGAAGCUUCCGAGUCCAUGCAGUCCUGGAUGCGGGUCACCUCGUGGAUCCUGAAAGCGACGGUGGACGGAAACGGGAUCCACUCAGGAACCACGGUUAAGUUCUCCACCUGCUGUUGACAGCGGCGGAGAAUCUCCUCCGGCGAGCCCAUGAAAGCGAGUGUGCUGGCAUUGAAAAUGCUGAAGAAGACUGAGUUGAUACCGAGUCGAGAGGCGAUUGGGGGCAACCAGUGAGGAGCAAAGUCAUAGAUGAGCCAGUUGACAUCGGAGUUGUGUAGAAACUGAGUGAGAGGGAGUUGGAGCUGGUCGUAGGCUCGUUUCAGAUAGGGGACUAGGUGGAAGGGCAACUCGGAGGUGGACUCGGCGGAGUCGGGCAAGCCAUGGACGGGAGACAGAGGCAGUGGCACCAUGGUUACAAGCGAGGAUAAAUUUGGAGCAAUUUGAGAGAGGCGACGAAGGUUUUUAGGGGUGGAGAGGAAGGAAAUGCGGUGACCCAUUUGAACUAAGUGGUUGGAGAGAUGAAGAAAAGGCAAGAAGUGGCCAAAUGCCAGCCAUGGGAACACAGCUAUGUGAAGCUUCUGAUGCUCCUUCUUCAUCUCAUCCAUGGCAAUGGGGUUGUGAGUUGUGAGAGAAAUCAAGAUUCAAGACUUCUGGGUAGCGCAGUGAUGUGAGGCUGAAAAGGAGUUGUUAUCGCCAUCCAAGGAGCACUAUACCGAACGAGGGAUGUCCCACCACAGCUUUGUUCUUUGGUGCCCAUUGUUAUUUUGGGUACCCACCCAGACUCCAGUAAUAAAGUGACACGUGUAAAGUGUAUUCAAGUAACUUAUCAAACCGACAAGAUGAAUUAUUGAUCGGAAAUAAUCACAUGCAUAUCAAUCAUAUCUACAUAUUAUAACUUUUUUAUAAUUUAUUAUUAAAUAUCAAAUAUAAUUUCUUAUUUAAUGAACAAUAAAACAUUUAUUUAAAGAAAAAAAAAAAGCUACCGAGUUACCCUUAUACUCUCACUAUUCAAACAUAUAAAAAGGGUACUAAUUUAAUAUGAAAAUUAGGUCAACUAAUGCAUUGAAAAAAAUGGGGAUGUGUUUUGAUAAAACACAUUUGAAUGUCAAGUUCAAAACUUUUUGAGGAAGAAAAGAAAAAAAUUUGUAUUCCUUGAUGAAGAUCAAGGAUUUCAAGUGAUUAUAAGUGUCAAAAGUAAUAUUUGAUUGUUUUUUUUAUUUAAAUAUGAAUUAUGUAGGUAGAAAUGUUAUGUUAAAUAAUAAAUAUGUAAUAAUUUUAUAAUUUUUUAUGAGCUUAUUAUUAAUCAAAUGAGGAUGAUUUAAUAUUAUGUUAUCAAAUUACUAUUAAUAUUUUUAUAUUAUUUUUUUUGUGUGUUGAUAGAUUAGAUUUGAAGAUGAAGUUUUAUGUCUUGCAAAGGGAAAACAAGAAUUUUUGUUUCUUAAGAAGAUAUCAUAUGAAGGAUUUCAAGUGAUUACAACUGUUAAAUGUAACAUUUGAUAUGUUUUUUUUGUUUAUUUAAAUAUAAAUUUUGAAAGUAACAAUGUCAUGUUAAAUAGCAUUUAAAUAUGCAAUGAUUCGAUUUAGAUUUUAAAUUUUUUAUGAGUUAUUAUUAAUCAAAUUGAGACAAUUUAGUCAUUUGUCAUGAAAUUGUCAUCAAUAUUUUAUAUCAUUUUUUUGUGUAUUCAUAUAUUAAAUUUGAAGAUGAAGUUUUAUAUAUCUUGAAGAAGGAAAAUAAGAAUUUUUGUUUCUCAAGAAGAUAUUAUAUUAAGGAUUCCAAGUUAUUACAAGUAUUAAAUGUAAAAUUUGAUUCUUUUUUUUUUAAUUUAAAUAUAAAUUUUGUAGGUAGAAAUGUCGUGUUAAAAAGCAAUUGUUUUAAAUAUGUGAGAGGGGAUAUGAACAAUGUGAGAGAUAGUAUAAAUAGUAUGAGAGAAGGUAUAAGCAAUGUGAGAAGGUGUACAAAAAAUGUGAAAAGGGUAUAAACAAUGUAAGACAAUGUACAAACAAUGUGAUAAGGAGUACGAAUAAUGUNNNNNNNNNNNNNNNNNNNNNNNNNNNNNNNNNNNNNNNNNNNNNNNNNNNNNNNNNNNNNNNNNNNNNNNNNNNNNNNNNNNNNNNNNNNNNNNNNNNNGAAUAAUGUGAGAGGGGGUAUAACAAUAUGAGAUGAGAUACGGACAGUGUCAGAGAAUGUACGAACAUUGUAAAAGAUGAUAUAAACAAUGUGAGAUGAAAUACGAACAGUAUGAGAGAAGGUAUGAACAUUGUAAAAGAUGAUAUAAACAAUGUGAGAUGAGAUACGAACAGUGUGAAAAAAGGUACGAGCAUUGUAAAAGAUUAUAACAAAUAAUAUGAGAGAUGGUACGAACAAUGUGAGAAAUGAUACAAACAAUGUAAGAGAGUACAAAUAAUGUGAGAUGAGGUACGAAUAAUGUGAUAAAUGAUACAAACAAUGUAAGAGAGUACAAAUAGUAUGAACAAUGUGAGAGAGGUACAAACAAUGUGAGAGAUGAUAUGAAUAUUGUAAAAGAUUGUAUGAACAUUGUGAGAGAUUGUACAAACAUUAUAAGAAAUAGUACGAACAUUGUGAGAUGGUGUACAAAUAUUGUGAGAUAGAGUAUGAAUAAUGUGAGAGAUAGUACAAACAUAAUGAGAGAUGGUACAAAGAUUGUAAUAGAGACUAUGAACAAUGUGAAAAAGGGUUGAACAUUAUGAGAUGGGGUACAAAGAAUGUGAGAGAUGAUAUGAAUAUUGUAAGAGAUUGUAUGAACAUUGUGAGAGAUUGUACAAACAUUAUAAGAAAUAAUACGAACAUUGUGAGAUAGAGUAUGAACAAUGUGAGAGAUAGUACAAACAUAAUGAGAGAUGGUACAAAGAUUGUAAUAGAGACUAUGAACAAUGUGAAAAAAGGUUGAACAUUGUGAGAGAGUGUACAAACAAUGUAAGAGGGGUAUGAACAAUUUUAUUAAACAAAUUAAAAUAAUUUAAUUAUUUGUUAUCAAAUUCAAUAUUUUUAUAUCAUUUUUUUUUUUGUAUUUAGGGAUUAUAAAAUAUUAUUAUUAUCCUUAUUAUAUAUAUAUAUAUAUAAAUGAAAGAAUUUGAGAAAUGAUAUGAAACAUGUGAAACAAGGUAUGAAAUGAUAUAAAAAUAUUUAUUUAAAAAAAAACCAAAUUGAUAACAAGUAUGACUAAAUAAUGUAAUUUUCUAACUACUUUUUCUUUUAUAUUUCAGUUCCUUCAUGGAUAUGAUAGACAAAGGCAAAGGAAAUGAAUUCAUCAUCGAUUUGAAGGAUGAAGACUUUGACUACCAAUAUGAUAGUAAUGUGAAAACUGAGUUUGAUGAAGAGUCCAUGUUAGGAAUCUUCACAUUUUUUUGUACUCUUCCCAAAAUUUCAAGUAUUUUUAUGUUUAAAUUUUUUUGUGCAUAAUUUACAUCAAUCAUAAGUGUAAUUAGUAUUUUUAAAUAAUAUCAUAACUAUUGAAAGUGGGAAAAAAUUCUUAAAAAUCAAAGAAGUCAAAAUUUUGGAGGAUACGAAAAAUGUAAGAAAUCCUUAUAUUCUUUGUACUUUCUCUUUAUUUCAUGUUUUUUUUUAAAUUUUGAUAUUUUUCUCCUAAUAUUCCUUCAUUUGUGACUCAAUUAAGCUAUUUUAUUGUUAUUUUUAAUGAAAAAUUAAAUCUUAAAAAUUUUUCAAAUAUAAAAUUUGGAGGAUAGGAAAAAAAUGUGAGAAUGUUACAAAUCAUACCCUUUUCAAUUUAAUUUUUUUAGCCAAAUAAUCUAUCAUUCUUGACUCAGUAAAGUUGUUUUAUUGUUAUUUAGAGUAAAAAAAUAAAUCCUAAAAAUGAUCAACAUGUAACAUUUUUAUGAUUUUUAUUAUAAAGUGUUACUAGGAAUACCAUCUUUUUAUGAUUCAAUUUUACAUUCGUGAAAUAAGAGUAAUAGUAUUGUUUGAUGAGUCAUGCUAAAAACGACUAAAUUAAGUUUAUAUGGUUUUUAUAAUUAUAUUCAAAUAUGUUAUAGCUAAUGUUAUAUAAAAUAUAAUGGAAUUUAAAUGUGUUGUAGUUUUAAUUUCAUAUAAUUAAUCAAAUUUUUUAUAAUUGAUCAUGGUCCAAUUACCUAAUACCUUUGUUUAACCUAUGCUCAAAAUGUUGAAUAUCAAUACAAAUAUUAAUUCCAUAUUAAAACAUCACCAUAUUCAUUUUUAUGUUCGUAAAAAUCAAUAUUCAUGAGGAGCUUACAAACUAAGUGAAUUCAAAUGUUUUACAAAUUUUAUACCAAUUUCAUUUUUAUUUUUAUCCAAUUCUAUUUUUUUUUUAUCUCAUUUAAUUAUUUCAUAUAAACCCAAAAUUGUUUGUUUAAAUACAAUUAUCCAUUAUCCAUUCAUCUUGAAACCCAUUUAUCUCAUCUCAUCAUUUCAUCUUGAAAAAUGAAUGGAACGACUGUUUCCUGCCAAAUAAUGGAUCCAAUGGCUACUAUGUGAUGAGGUGUGAUUGGAUGUUUUUGAUAUAUUCCAACGGCUACAAUGAUGAAUGUGAAGAGAAAAAAUGGAAGAAAAUGGACAAAAUGAAAUCAUGAGGGAGAGAAAGAAAGAGGAAGAAGAGACAAAUGAAGAAGAGGGAAUGGAGGAACCAGUUACUCCUUUAAUAGGUUAUCUUGUUUGUUUUUUUUUUUUUUUUAAAUUUAAAAUGGAUGGCCAAGAUCUAAUGACUAGAGAAUUUUUUUGGUACUAUAGAAUUUUCCAUCCCAUAAAUCCUAUUACUUUUCCCCCACAAUGGGUAAGCCAAGGGGAAGAAGUGUGUUUUGGUGGGAGAGUUUUGAAAAUGAAGGGAAGAAUCCUUAAAAAAAAAAAAAAUAGAAAAAUAAUUUUCUCUUUGAUUUUUACAUAAAAAUAUAUAUAAAAAAUCAAAUAUAAUAAAAAUUAAUUAAAAAUUUAUAAAUUUUUAAAUUAUUUAAUCUUUAUAGAAAAAGUAAAACGAGUUUGAAAUAUCGUAUAAAAAUAAUUUAUUAACUUUAAAUCAAUUUAUUUAUUUUUCCACUUUUUAUUUCCUUUCACUUUCUUUUUAUUUUAUUUCUCUUAUAUAUUCCCUUAAAUUUUUAUGAACCAAAUAUAACUUAAAAGCUUAAUAUAUCCCAAUAAAAAAAAUAUUAUUUGCAUUAAUAUUUAUAAUCCACCUUUAAUUUAAAAAUAUGUAAAACAAUAAUAGAUAUUUUGUGUUGGACGUCAUUUGUCUUAUCCGGGCUGAGCCGUGGAGUAUAUUUGGCUCUGUGGGAUGCUCGAGUCCGGAGACUACACGUUUCCCCACAAAGUGGCCUCCCCAGGAUUUGAACUCAAGACCUUAAGGUCUUUUGGUUUGCCCUNNNNNNNNNNNNNNNNNNNNNNNNNNNNNNNNNNNNNNNNNNNNNNNNNNNNNNNNNNNNNNAUUUUGGAAUCACAUAUUUUGGCAUAUUAAAACACAACUUUUCCCAUGGAAAAAGGCAUGAUGGUCCAAUUACCUAAUACCUUUAUUUAACCUAUGCUCAAAAUGUUGAAUAUCAAUACAAAUAUUAAUUCCAUAUUAAAACAUCACCAUAUUCAUUUUUAUGUUCGUAAAAAUCAAUAUUCAUGAGGGAGCUUACAAACUAAGUGAAUUCAAAUGUUUUACAAAUUUUAUACCAAUUUCAUUUUUAUUUUUAUCCAAUUCUAUUUAUUUUUAUCUCAUGAAGGGCAACUCGGAGGUGGACUCGACGGAGUCGGGCAAGCCAUGGACGGGAGGCAGAGGCAGUGGCACCAUGGUUACAAGUGAUGAUAAAUUUGGAGCAAUUUGAGAGAGGCGACAAAGGUUUUUAGGGGUGGAGAGAAGGGAAAUGCGGUGACCCAUUUGAACUAAGUGGUUGGAGAGAUGAAAAAAAGGCAAGAAGUGGCCAAAUGCCAGCCAUGGAAACACAGCUAUGUGAAGCUUCUGAUGCUCCUUCUUCAUCUCAUCCAUGGCAAUAGGGUUGUGAGUUGUGAGAGAAAUCAAGAUUCAAG